AUGAAUAUUAGGCUACUAUUUAUAGAACUACCCUUACUAUUAUUAUUAUUAUUAUUUAUUAUUAUUAAAUACGCUUGUAUCAUUUUUGCUUUUAUUGACCUUAAUCAGGGUAGACACCAUAUUGAAUUUAACGCUGAUGAAAACAAAAGGACGCUGUGAGGAUCAUAGUUUUCUCAUUUUUGGAACAACAUAAAGUAUAGACUCCUGACCCCCAGGCCUCUUUACUGCAUCAAAGAGCCAGACCAUGCUGAGACAGGCCUGACAUACACGCAAUGCUUUGCUGUGCUCCAGGUGUUUCCAGUCAGAACAGUCAACUUCUGGAGGAAACAGACUACAGGAGAAAUGGCCACGGGGCGUUGAGUUGAGCGCUGCAGUCACGCACAGGCACUUUAUCACGAGAGGUGACAUUAGACACUGCUGGAGCUGCCUGCUUAAAGCGUUGCCUGUUUUCAGUGUUUCUGAUGGCUUGGCUGAUUAAGUAGAUCAUGCAGACAGGUUCACCUGUGUUACUUUCAAGGUAAAUAAACUGGAAGAGCAUGAGAAUGCUAAAACUUCAAAAUAUUCAAGUGCCAUGUGGAAAACAAAGAGAAAACGCUUCCAUUUUGUGCACUUUAAUUUAAUGCACAAAUAUUCAUUUCAAAUAAUUUUGUCUGCAUAACAAUUUAAAGGGAUAAUUCACGCAAAAAUAUAAGUCUUGUCAUUUAUUCUGUGGAAAUCAGUGGCUACCAACAAUUUGAAGUUACAAUGAAGCUGACAUGAUGAGCCAUGAUAUUCCAGGGUGAUUUGAGAAUAUUUUAGAGAUCUUCAGUGGAAGCAAAAGUCUCAUCUUUACAAUGGAUCUUCAGUAUGGUCUUUUGGGCUCCACUGUGUGUGACUGUAACUUUUUAUACUAAUAUUUGCUGAAUUUACUCAUUCUGCAUCCUGUGAUAGCAUUCUGCAGUCAGACUGUCUGAUUUGCCUUCUUUGUUUGUCAGUGUUACACUCACACUCAUACAGACACAAAUGCAAAUGCAUGCAAGCAUGAAAGCAGCGUCACUGGGUGUGAUGGUGUCAGAGAGUUUAAUCCAGAGCAUCACCCUGCCACUCUGUACAGGCCGGUUCCCCUCAUUACAACACAAUGACCCUCAUGACGCCACACUCUCGUCAACCUUCAGUUUCCCAGGAAAAUGAUAAAACCCCUCA